rnacentral:piRNA from 1 species
AUCAAUGAACACAGGCACACAGAA